rnacentral:rRNA from 1 species
AAAGGAAUAGACGGGGGCCCGCACAAGCGGUGGAGCAUGUGGGUCAAUUGGAUGCUACGCCAAGAACCUUACCAGGGCUUGACAUGUUGGGGCCCGCGUGAGAGAUCACGUUUUCUCCGCAAGGAGACCCCAUCACAGGUGGUGCAUGGCUGUCGUCAGCUCGUGUCGUGAGAUGUUGGGUUAAGUCCCGCAACGAGCGCAACCCUCACCGGAUGUUGCCAUCGGUUCGGCCGGGCACUCUUUCGGAACUGCCUGAGCAAUCAGGAGGAAGGCGAGGAUGACGUCAAGUCCGCAUGCCCCUUAUGUCCUGGGCUGCACACGUGCUACAAUGGCUGGUACAAUGGGUUGCCAAACCGCGAGGUGGAGCUAAUCCCCCAAAACCAGCCCCAGUUCGGAUUGGAUGUCUGCAACUCGACUCCAUGAAGCUGGAAUCGCUAGUAAUCGUGGAUCAGCAACGCCACGGUGAAUACGUUCUCGGGCCUUGUACACACCGCCCGU